GUUGGCGGCAUGUCCUUUCUGUCACACACCGGUGGGUAGCUGCCCUCUGUUGUAGCUCCACCACCAAACAACUCAGUUAUUUUUUCCACAUCCAGCUGUAACUCCGAUUCUAUGCGAGCAUUUGCGAGAGACCAGGGAGGUGAAACGACAGAGAGAGUCCCCUCGCUAUCCAUUUGCAGCCAAGUGCGGCAGCUAGCUAGGUAGCCAGCUAGGUAGCCGGCUAGCUGUCAGGCAGGACCGACCACUGUCGCUAAAUAUGGGAUGUCUUGAUAAAACAAGCAGAUAUUUGAAGUUUACACACCUACAUUCUCGCCUGAAAAUAUCUUAAAAGCUUAUUUUGUGACCUAGAAACACGAAUAAAAGACAUAUAAAACGAAGUGGUGGCCGCCAUUGUUCACUCUGUAGAGGCGUGCUAUGAAUUGUGGGAUAUUGAGUUUUCC
ensembl:lncRNA